rnacentral:misc_RNA from 1 species
UACGGAGGGUGCAAGCGUUAUCCGGAUUUACUGGGUUUAAAGGGUGAGUAGGCGGCCAAAUAAGUCAGUGGUGAAAGCCCGCAGCUUAACUGCGGAAUUGCCAUUGAAACUGUCUGGCUUGAGUACAGUCGAGGAAGGCGGAAUGUAGCAUGUAGCGGUGAAAUGCUUAGAUAUGCUACAGAACACCAAUUGCGAAGGCAGCUUUCUAGACUGCUACUGACGCUGAGGCACGAAAGCGUGGGGAGCGAACAGG